ensembl:lncRNA
GCUGGAAGGACUCACAAAACUCACUGAAAGUUGCUAUAUUCACAGUUACGGUUUAAGACAGAACAGGGACAGAGAUUAAAAGCAGCUAAGGGAAAAGAAACAUGCAGAAGUGUCCAGGAGAGUCCAAAGCAUGGGACCUCUAGUUAUCUUCUCCCAGUGGAGUUAUGGACACACUUGAUUUCUCACAGCUCCAAUGUGUGACGAUAUGCAUGAGCCAGUGCCAACCAGACAAGCUCACCUGAGCCUUGGUGUCUACAGAUUUUAUUGUGGCUCAGUCACAUAGCCAUGGCUGACUGGUCAUGCGGUCAACCUUAGUCUCCAGAGGUCAAAUUCAUACCACAUGACCCAAGGACCCUUCCUAUAAAUCACACUGCUAGCAUAGGCUAUCUGGCUUGGCCAAAGGUCCCCAGGUUAAACAAAUCAAGGCAAGAUAUUCCUAGGUCUUAGAGGUUACCUCCCAGGAGCCAAGGGCAAAGGCCAAACCUCUUUGGGUGAAAGAUUAAUCGUUUAUUGUCCAUCCAGACCUUCUUGUUCCACUUGACAGAAUUUCUCUGCAACAUCCCUCCAAACUUACACCUCUCCUAAUCUAUUCCAUCCUCAAGAACAACACCAACCAUCAUCCAAGUGAUCAAGCCACUUGCACCCUAAUUCAAGCCACCAUCAGUUCUCACAUUGGGGGUUUCUGGCAAGUGCAGCUGGGUAGAUAGAUGAAGGUAGCUCAGACCGGGCGUUUGGGGGGCCCUGAGUGUGUUGCAGAGUGCUAGUACCGGCCCAGGAUGCUGCACCCUGGCCCUCCUUCCCCCAGAAGGACCCCGAACCUCCAGCCAGGGCUUACUCGGUUCGCCAAGGAAGCCUAGCUUCAGAGCCUGGACAAGAAGAUCUGCUCCCUGCCCAGUCCUGAGUCCCAGACGCACAACUCAGAAAGCAAAACUCAAGUUUCAGAAACUGCUGGGCCCCCAGAACAGAAGGGGAAGAAAGCACAUUAGAAAUCCCAGGUGCGGGUCCCUGUGGAGAAGCCUCAGGGCAGGAAGUCAGCGGCAGUGAAAGAGGAGGCGGAGGCCUUCAGCUCCACUGCGGGCCCUGCGGAUGGCCUGGCCUCAGCGCCCGACUCUUCAUUUGCGGUGGACGUCCUGUGACAGCGCCUGCAUGAGAAGAUAGGGGAGGCACGCAGCCAGGGCAACGCCAGGAAGCUGCUUCCCACCUCUUUGGGGAAAAGAUGCUGGAGGAAGCUGAGGCAGCAGGAGUGGGACCGGAAGUAGAGGGUGCGGAGGGAGCUGGGGAUGAAGGAGAAAGCCGCCAAGGUCUCCAAGAGGCCCCCUGAGCUGCCGGGCCAGCCGGGCUGCUCUUCACUGAGGUAGAGAUGAGUCAAUAAGAGGGGCAGGCCUGCAAGGCGCAGCGCAGGAAGGAGAGGAGGCAGAAGGUGAAGGGGCUGAUGGGCUGGAGCAGCUGCCAGACUGGGUCGCGGCCUAGGCCCGGGAACUUCAGGCCAAGAUGCAGGGACGAACCUGCUGUACAAGGCCAAGGGCGUGAAGAUCCUCAACGGCCAGCACCUGCAGCCGGAGGUCCAGGAGAAGCGGCGGGCGCAGCGCGGGUGCACGUGUGAGAAGCGCAGGGCCAGUGGCCCAGGUGGUGGGGAAGAUGCUGCUGCAGGACCGAUGGCGGCAGAACCUGCGCAAGAAGGCGGUCAAGGCCGAGGGGCGCCUGGAGAAGGGCCGCAUCCUGCACCCUGGUUCUGGAGACCGACCUGGCCUGAGGGCCCGGAUGCUCGACCCCAGGCAGGCCCUGGCUCUGGGUGGAGAGCGGACGCUGUCACACUCCGCUCAGCGACUUGUCCAGGGCUCAGGCCGCGUGGGCACAAGAGCCUUCAGAUCUGGGGAAGGGUUGAUCCACAUCUAGACCCCAGCCUCCUCUCAUGAGGCCAGAACGCUCCCUGAAAGUUGCAGGGUUGGGGACGAGGGAGCGGUAAGGAGGCGGUGAGCGCCAGUUAAGAAACAGAUGGUAACCAAAAGGAAGCUGGUGUUGGCUGUAUUGGAAGAUGAAGUCAAUUUUAAGAUAAAAGGCACUGCUAAAGAGAAGGAAUAUCCCCACGUGAUGAAAAGGGGUUCAAAUCACCUGGAAGGUGGAAAAGCUGUGCACCAGGAACAUAUCUCCAAGUCUGUCUAGCAGAAAGUGACACAAGGAGAAAUCAAGUCACAGAUCAAAGUGGGAGAUUUUUAACAUCUCUGUUAGGAAUUGAUACACAAGCAGAUAAAAAUCGGAUGGCUAUGGAAAGUUCGGAUGAAAACAGUUAUAAGCUUGAUCUGAUGGACACACAGAACGGUAUCUGAAAACAGUAUAUACUUCAAGCACACAUGGAACAGUGGGGGAAACUCUCAAAGUUCGUAAAACAAGUCAUAUUUUAAAGUGUCAAUGUCAUACAAAGUAUAUUACCUGGUCAUAGCACAAUUUAAAAACGUAAGUGGAAAUUGCUAAAGUUUCCUGUUCGGAAGUUUAGAAACAUGCUUCUAAAUUACCUGUGGGUCAAAGAAUAAUACCUAAUGGAUGUCAGAGUAUUUGGGAUCAAAAGAUAAUGAAGAUGCUAUGCAUUAAAAUGUGUCAGACACAGCAAAGACACUGCAAAAAAGCACUAGAUAGCCUUUAAAAAAAAAAAACAAAAACAAACAAUUUCUCACCUGAACUAUAGCCACCUCAUAUCACCCUGUCUCCAGCUUUGCCACCUCACAGGUCAGUAUCCACAUAGUAAAG